rnacentral:snRNA from 11 species
AGCUUUGUGCAGUACCAGUAUUGUAGCCAAUGAGGUUUAUCCGAGGCAUGAUUAUUGCUAAUUGAAAAUCUCCAUUACUUUUAAAAACCCAUGACCUCAGUCUUUUAAUCACCUCCUUAAGC